AGAUAAUAAAAUGACUCAUAUAAGUCCCAGAUAUGGUGGGAUGUUUCUACCGGAAGCCAAAAAGUUCCGACUAUGAGUGAAUUUGAUAUAU
rnacentral:ncRNA from 1 species